rnacentral:rRNA from 1 species
CAAUAGCGUAUAUUAAAGUUGUUGCAGUUAAAAAGCUCGUAGUUGGAUUUGUGGCGUACGGUGUGUUCCGGGCACUUGUUGUCUGAGUAACCUGCUGUUGCCAUCCUUGGGUGGAACCUGUGUGGCAUUAGGUUGUCGUGCAGGGGAUGCCCAUCAUUUACUGUGAAAAAAUUAGAGUGUUCAAAGCAGGCUUAUGCCGUUGAAUAUAUUAGCAUGGAAUAAUGAGAUAGGACUUUUUUGCUAUUUUGUUGGUUUGCGCAAAGAGGUAAUGAUUAAUAGGGACAGUUGGGGGUAUUCGUAUUCCAUUGUCAGAGGUGAAAUUCUUGGAUUUUUGGAAGACGAACUACUGCGAAAGCAUUUGCCAAGGAUGUUUUCAUUGA